rnacentral:tRNA from 1 species
GUUGGACGAACAGGGAAUCGAACCCUGGACCACUCCCAUGCUAAGGGAGUAUUAUACCACUAAACCAUCCGCCCA